rnacentral:rRNA from 1 species
UUCCGGUUGAUCCUGCCGGACCUGACUGCUAUCGGAUUGAUACUAAGCCAUGCGAGUCUUUGCAGUAAUGCAAGGCAUACGGCUCAGUAACACGUAGUCAACUUACCCUAUGGACGAGGAUAAUCUCGGGAAACUGAGCAUAAUACUCGAUAGAUCAUAAUGCCUGGAAUGGUUUAUGGUUAAAAUGAUUCGUCGCCAUAGGAUGGGACUGCGGCCUAUCAGCUUGUUGGUGAGGUAAUGGCCCACCAAGGCGAUUACAGGUACGGGCUCUGAGAGGAGAAGCCCGGAGAUGGGUACUGAGACAAGGACCCAGGCCCUAUGGGGCGCAGCAGGCGAGAAAACUUUGCAAUGUGCGAAAGCACGACAAGGUUAAUCCGAGUGAUUUCUGCUAAAGAAAUCUUUUGCAAGUCAUAAAACCACUAGUGAAUAAGGGGUGGGCAAGUUCUGGUGUCAGCCGCCGCGGUAAAACCAGCACCUCAAGUGGUCAGGAGGAUUAUUGGGCCUAAAGCAUCCGUAGCCGGCUCUGUAAGUUUUCGGUUAAAUCCAUGUGCUCAACACAUGGGCUGCCGAAAAUACUGCAUAGCUAGGGAGUGGGAGAGGUAGACGGUACUCGGUAGGAAGGGGUAAAAUCCUUUGAUCUAUCGAUGACCACCUGUGGCGAAGGCGGUCUACCAGAACACGUUCGACGGUGAGGGAUGAAAGCUGGGGGAGCAAACCGGAUUAGAUACCCGGGUAGUCCCAGCUGUAAACGAUGCAGACUCGAUGAUGCAUUGGCAUAUAGCCAGUGCAGUGUCGCAGGGAAGCCGUUAAGUCUGCCGCCUGGGAAGUACGUACGCAAGUAUGAAACUUAAAGGAAUUGGCGGGGGAGCACCACAAGGGGUGAAGCCUGCGGUUCAAUUGGAGUCAACGCCGGG